rnacentral:misc_RNA from 1 species
GAGCCUUGGUGAAACUGAGAGUUCAGGAUCAAUAUCUUCGCAUUCUGAGAGAUUCUCUGAUGACCAAGUAGGUGGCUAUGAUACAAGAACCCCACCCCAACCCCCACAAUUAGGAUUUUAACAUUGGUUUUUAGCUGUAGUGUUGUUCUAGACGAGUCUAUACAAGCUUUUAACUUUUCAAUGAAAUUUUGAGGGAUUGAUGAAUAUGACAUCUAUCUAUUCCUUCCUUACCAUUUCAAUAGUUUGGUUAUUAGACUCCCUUCGAAAUUUCUCACUAGUUAUCCACAAUUUAUUCAAAAAGAAGUAUUUCAAUUAGGAAGAGAGUUUAUUGCAGAUAACUCUCAAGACAUUUCUUCAUUGGCUAUCCUUAAGUUGAUCUCUUUUCAAAAUAAGUUGAUCUAUACAUGUGAUAAAAUUUACUAUUUCAAGCCUUAUUGUAGGCAUCAUAGGGGUUUGAAGCACAGCCUUUCAAAUUGUAGUUUGAUGUCUACACUUGUUUAAGCAAAUGGCAUACUUGAACAUUGUUGUGAACGGUAAUCUCAAAACUUUAAUUGUAUUAAAAUCUGAAGAAAACUGAGCUUGGAUUAGAGACACAGAUUUGAUGUAAUAUGAUAGAUACUUGGAGUAGGCAUCAGAUACUAUGACUCACGAAUUUGUUAUAUCUUUGUCUUUAAGAACUAAGGCUGAGCUCUUCUUGAUGGCAAGCUUGGAUUUCUUUGUGAUGCAGUUAGAAAUCCAGCUGUAGGUCUCAUAAAAAAAGGCAUGCAUUGGCAAUUCCUUCACUGCAUGGUUGACAAGUUUUGUAUCCAGAUAAUGAGGCAAUUAAACUAAGAAAAAAGCUAUAAUAUAUUCUAAGUUAUUUUGAAGGGUUAAAGCAGUGAAAACUCUCCUUGAAAGGUGUAUUUGUAAAGGGAACUAGAGAGAAUCAAAAUUCCUUUGAAGAAGUCACCUUGGUCAUAUGAAAUACUUAUAUGGACAUUGGGAUAUUAAAUUGUCAAAGGGAUCAUCCUUGGUUGGGCAUACAUAUGAUUAGCAGAAAACUGACUACGCUACUUCCUGUGUUUCUUCAUCAAUUGUAGUGAUGUUUGUUUUCAUGCUUCAUUAAGGACAAAUAUGGUUUAGUUAGUUUGCUCCUGUUUAGGAUGACAUUGGUUUUUUCUUGUUAAUUGCCAAUAUUGGCUCUGUUUGUGUUGAUUUCA